rnacentral:lncRNA from 7 species
ACGGAGGGGGAGCGAGCAGAUGCUGAAAAGCACUAAACUUCAGUCUGGGAGGCUCUGCUGUGCCGAGGGAAAAACAAACAAAAAAGCCGCAAAUCAAAUGCUGAUUCAAUGGGAUCCAAGCAAAAUUGGGGGCUAUUAUGGUAAGCCUUAUCACAGGAUUGGAGGAAGUGCAGACAUAAAGAUUGGGAGGAAGAGGAGGAAAUCAUCUGCCUGACCUCUCAUGCUGAGGCAGGAGAAGCCGGAACCUUCUCUGCUUCUGACACUGUGCAAAGAACAAUGCUACUCAAGCUGUUACUACGCCCACGUGUUUUCAUCCCUAGGAAAUGGCAGCAGCCCUCAGGUUGCCAGCCCUUGGGAAGCAAGGCAUUAAGACAUCAGCACAGCACUCCCAUAGCUUAACGUGAGUGAUUCUCUCCCCUUCCCCAGCUUUUUUAAUUUCAGGUACUUUCUACUUCCUAUUUGGGCUUCCCAGUGAUACAAGUGUGUAAUUAGCAAAAAAGACAUUAGCACCUUUAAGGCACUCUUCAGCCAUCAAAAGAAUCAAGCUAUGCAAUUCUGCAUGUUGAUUCUUGUAAUUAAAACAUUAAUUUCUUACUUUUGGGGAAAAACAAAAUUCCUGUAUUUCACAGAUGAUGGCAGAUCUAAAAAUUAAUUUAAGAUGAUAAUGCCACAUGAAAAUAAAAACCUCUUCUGAUUGAAUUUCAAGGACUCUUCUGUUUAACUAGCUUCAAGAGUCCUUUUUUUGAUCAUAAUAAAAUUAUUUGCCAUAUGGUUCAGAUGCUUGUGAUCCCCUCUCAAUGAGAGGAUUAUGCAUGAGAUAUAAUGCCUACUGUAGCUGCAGCCAAGCACACAGCUGGCUCUGAUAAUGCCAACAAAUGGCUUCAUCUAUCUCAAUGUCACGUAGGAGCUGGUGCGAUAAGAAUCAGCCCAGAGCACAAUUAAAAUCUACAUCAUCUGUGAGAAAGGUGAUGGAGGUUCUGACAUCAGAGCUGUGCCAGAUUCAUCCUCUUUCCAUUGUAACAGAAGAAACAUGUUGCCCCCUUCACCCUGUCACACUAAUGAUGCGCUUUGCACAUCCCUUCCUGUGCACAUUAAAGAUAGUAAAUCAUGGAGACUCCUAUUUAAAAGCUUCACCUUUAUCUGACAUUCAGUAACGAGAACAAUUUCUAAAUUUAAGUUAAGUGUAUUUCUUGCUCCCCUCUCUGUGAUGAGAUAAUGCCAUUUGAAGUCUGCAAGUGAAAUAUGCAUGGAGGAGUUUAUGAUCCAUAUGGCCCCGAACUGUGACAGUAUGCAAGGAUUUCCUUGUUUUAGUCCCACAAUAUUUAGUCACACUAAUAAAAUCAAGCCCGUGCAUCCAUUUCUUCUUCACCAAAGCAAAUUUUAUUGCAAAACUUUCCAUAAUUCACAACAAACGAGCUUGAUAUCAAGUCACUGAUGAACCUCCUCUGUUAAAAUGGAUUUUAAAACUAGUGGAGGACUCAUGCAAUUAUUUUGUUUUAUUGCUACAUUCAUUAAAGAGGAAACCCACAAAUAUGUUUUAUUAGCAUCUCCAGUGACUUAAUGUAAAUAUAAGACAUAAUUACCUAUGCCUAACUCUCAAAUUUUAUUAGAAGCCUGGGCUCUAUUAAAAUAUUUAAAGCCUUUCUAUGUCUGAUAUGUAAAAGUUUGUCUCGUGGAACAUAGCAAAACACUAGCUAAUGCUGCUUUCUCCUUUCUGUCAAUUUAUCUGCAUCAGUUGUGGCACACUGCAAGCGGUAUUGCUAAUCAAUGCAAUGUAGGCACUGAAAAAUAAAGAUAUGCAGGU